UGGGGAAUAUUGCACAAUGGAGGGAACUCUGAUGCAGCGACGCCGCGUGAACGAAGAAGGCUUUCGAGUCGUAAAGUUCUUUUAUAUGGGAAGAUAAUGACGGUACCAUAAGAAAAAGCCCCGGCUAACUACGUGCCAGCAGCUGCGGUAAUACGUAGGGGGCUAGCGUUGUCCGGAAUCACUGGGCGUAAAGGGUUCGCAGGCGGAAAUGCAAGUCAGGUGUAAAAGGCAGUAGCUUAACUACUGUAAGCAUUUGAAACUGCAUAUCUUGAGAAGAGUAGAGGUAAGUGGAAUUUUUAGUGUAGCGGUGAAAUGCGUAGAUAUUAAAAAGAAUACCGGUGGCGAAGGCGACUUACUGGGCUCAUUCUGACGCUGAGGAACGAAAGCGUGGGUAGCAAACAGG
rnacentral:rRNA from 3 species